ACAUGACCCAAGUGUUUUGAUUUUAUUGCUGUUCUUUUAGAUAGGUUUUUUUUACAUUUUAUUUUUCUGUUUGUUUGAUUUUUUUAUGUUUUUUUACCCUGACACUCUUUUUUUACAUUGAGGUGUUUUGCUUGUAAAGCACUUAGUGCAGUUGGAGCUGUUGGAAAUGUGCUGUAUAAAUAUAUUUGACAUUUACCUUGAUUUCUUUCCAUUUUACUUUGUUUUAUCGAUUCUAGGAUUGAUCUGUAAUUUCAGUAUAGGGCUGUUUUAUUUAUUCAGGGCUUGUUGUUGUUGAACCAAUCUAAAUUGGUUCAAUGGUGUCAUAUGACUGCUGUCAUAUUUACUCUGUGUACACUUCUUUGGUCCUGUGGGUGUAUUAAAGUGCUCUAUAAAUAAAGUCGGUAUGAUGUAAUUAAAUCAAGCUCCAGCCCUGUCUCUACAGGUUCUGCAGUCUUAAAUAGAUUUAUUUUCCAGCUUAUCCAAUGUUUAGUUACAUCCAAUCAUCCAAAGCUGGACAGCUUUACUUUCCAGACUGAAGAAAAAUACCACCCCAUGAUGAUAGCUGCCACUACUAUAUUUAAACUGUGCAGAGGAUACGGUCAAGGUUAUGUGCAGGUUUGGUUUUAUUAAAACUUCCAUUUUGAACAACGCUUCCUAUGGCUUCUCAACAACAGCUUUCAUUCUGCUGUCUUCCUUGGUCCUAAUGAUGAUUUCAGUGCUAGUGUCGUCUAACAAACCUCUGAGGCCUUCUCAGAACAGCUAUCUAUAUAAACUUUAUUAAGUUAUUUGAUCACUUCCGAAGGCAGAUGGUUGUUCUGGAUUUUAUUUAGAUCAUCUAAAGUAAGAGGGCAAACUGUAUGCACACGCCACACUUUUCAGAUUUGUGAUUGUGCUGUUUUUCUACCCCACACACAUUGAUUUUGGAUUGGUGUAUCCCAUAAAAUCCUCCCAAAAUCGAUGGAGGUUACUAUGGUGAUGUGACAAAAUGUGAACAAGUUCCAAGGGAAUGAAAACUUUUACAAGGCACUGUGCAUCCUUACUUAGAUAUUCACCAUCUCUCUUCGUCAUUCCUUAAUGAUACAUCUUAAUUCCCAGUUUCCCUCAGGAGCAAGGACACCUUCAAAUUUAUGGGAUUUAUGCUGGAAGCUCGGGAUGUGAGUUUAGAUGGUGAUGGCCCUCCACUGGGGAAAUUUAUCAUUCUUGAUACUAGUCAGUCUCGACUCCUGAAGUGUGGCGAUUCAGAGGACUCAGCUGUGAGUCAUAAACUCAAUGUGGACAAGACACUGAUCGAGGUAAACUGGACCGCAGAGGGAGCAGAACAAGACAUCAUGUUCAGGGCCACUUUCAGUCAAACGUAUACAAAGUACUGGGAACGUGUGAAUGUGACAGUACUUAGACCCACGGGCACUCCGCAACCUGAGCUAACAACUCCAGCAACAACUCCAGCAACAACUGCAGUAACAAUUCCAGCAACAACUCCAGCAACCACUCCGGCA